rnacentral:rRNA from 1 species
GACAGAGGGUGCGAACGUUGCUCGGAAUUACUGGGCGUAAAGCGCGUGUAGGCGGCUAUGUAAGUCGGGCGUGAAAUCCCACGGCUCAACCGUGGAAGUGCACCCGAAACUGCGUAGCUAGAGUCCUGGAGAGGAAGGUGGAAUGCUUGGUGUAGAGGUGAAAUUCGUAGAUAUCAAGCGGAACACCGGUGGCGAAGGCGGCCUUCUGGACAGUGACUGACGCUGAGACGCGAAAGCGUGGGGAGCAAACAGG